rnacentral:rRNA from 1 species
CCUACGGGUGGCAGCAGUGGGGAAUAUUGCACAAUGGGGGGAACCCUGAUGCAGCGACGCCGCGUGAGUGAAGAAGUGCCUCGGUAUGUAAAGCCCUAUCAGCAGGGAAGAAAAUGACGGUACCUGAACAAGAAGCCCCGGCUAACUACGUGCCAGCAGCCGCGGUAAUACGUAGGGGGCAAGCGUUAUCCGGAUUUACUGGGUGUAAAGGGGGCGCAGGCGGGUUUGUAAGUCAGGAGUGAAAGCCCGGGGCCCAACCCCGGGACUGCUUUUGAAACUGGGUGGCUGGAUUGCAGGAGAGGUAGGCGGAAUUCCUGGUGUAGCGGUGAAAUGCGUAGAUAUCAGGAGGAACACCGGUGGCGAAGGCGGCCUGCUGGACUGCAACUGACGUUGAGGCCCGAAAGCGUGGGGAGCAAACAGGAUUAGAUACCCGUGUAGUC